CUUGGUGGACUCCGCUCUGGGUUGGAUGGACUGCUCCGUCCCGAGGCAUGCUGGGAGCUGUAGUUCUGUGGUGCCGGGCGGCCACAUGGGCUCCGCGGCGCGCGGCCGGUCUUUCCCCGAGCCGGGGCCGGGCUGUGCGCGCCGGGAGGCGCAGGUUGCCGCUGGCUGCGAGCGCGGUUGCCGGCGGGCAGAAGCAGCUCCCCGCCGCUAGGACCCCUGUGGGUUUUGUUGCCGAGCGAAGGUGGCGCACCGGGUAAACCGAGGAAUCUAUUACAGAGGGAUGCAGCUCUCUCGUUAUCACUUCUGCUGACUCCUGAAGCGAUCCUCUGCGCUGGUCCGAUAUCCCUGCCCGUCUGUGGCAAAAGAGUUUGCCCCCUCAGAUUGCAGAAGCAGCAUUGUGGAAUUUAGGUUUUGAAGAUGUCCCGGAUUUAAAGAUGAUGUGUAUUAAAUGAAGUAUGAGAAGAAACAGCUUCUUCCGACACUUGCGCUCCUUUUCUUCAGCUCGUGCAGAAGGCUGACAGCCUGUCUCACUCUCAUCAGUGCUAUCCCACCAGCUCCGUUAGGAGCUCAGCACCACGUUUGGCCUGUUCCGAUCUCCUCAUUUCUGUGCUGCAACACCACCAUCCAUAAGAAGUCAGGUAGGAUCUGAAGACC